UUGAGGAAGUAAAAGUCGUAACAAGGUCUCCGUUGGUGAACCAGCGGAGGGAUCAUUACCGAGUUUACAACUCCCAAACCCAAUGUGAACGUUACCAAACUGUUGCCUCGGCGGGAUCUCUGCCCCGGGUGCGUCGCAGCCCCGGACCAAGGCGCCCGCCGGAGGACCAACCAAAACUCUUUUUGUAUACCCCCUCGCGGGUUUUUUAUAAUCUGAGCCUUCUCGGCGCCUCUCGUAGGCGUUUCGAAAAUGAAUCAAAACUUUCAACAACGGAUCUCUUGGUUCUGGCAUCGAUGAAGAACGCAGCGAAAUGCGAUAAGUAAUGUGAAUUGCAGAAUUCAGUGAAUCAUCGAAUCUUUGAACGCACAUUGCGCCCGCCAGUAUUCUGGCGGGCAUGCCUGUCCGAGCGUCAUUUCAACCCUCGAACCCCUCCGGGGGGUCGGCGUUGGGGAUCGGCCCUGCCUCUUGGCGGUGGCCGUCUCCGAAAUACAGUGGCGGUCUCGCCGCAGCCUCUCCUGCGCAGUAGUUUGCACACUCGCAUCGGGAGCGCGGCGCGUCCACAGCCGUUAAACACCCAACUUCUGAAAUGUGACCUCGAUCAGGAGAUCAU
rnacentral:rRNA from 1 species